GCACAGCUAGCUCAUAUGGCAGAGCAUGAGACUCUUAAUCUCGGGGUCAUGGGUUCAAGCCCCAUGUUGGGUG